UACGAAGGGGGCUAGCGUUGCUCGGAAUCACUGGGCGUAAAGGGUGCGUAGGCGGGUCUUUAAGUCAGGGGUGAAAUCCUGGAGCUCAACUCCAGAACUGCCUUUGAUACUGAGGAUCUUGAGUUCGGGAGAGGUGAGUGGAACUGCGAGUGUAGAGGUGAAAUUCGUAGAUAUUCGCAAGAACACCAGUGGCGAAGGCGGCUCACUGGCCCGAUACUGACGCUGAGGCACGAAAGCGUGGGGAGCCAAACAGGG
rnacentral:rRNA from 1 species